GGGCCUGGUGAAAAAUUUGAUAUUCCGAAGUCGCCCAAACAAGAAAAUGCAAAAUGGCUCCAUAGCGCCCCCUAAGGUGAAAAUUCACACUAUUGACUGUCACGCCUUUACGCUUUGUCAAAAUGACACAAAAAUUGACAAACAUAUGUAUCUCAAUAAGAUCUACAAAAAAGUCAGUGCGGGCGUAUCUGUCAAAUGUACGGUUAAAGGGUUAUUCCGCAUUUUUUGCCGAUCCGCACACAUUGGAAUUUCGCUAACUCCUCCGAAGGCUUUCUUUCCACCGGCACCACAUUUGCUCAGGCCAAUCUACACCCCAUGGCCAUUAAAAGUUAUUCAAAUCAUGACGCUGCACCCCACGGUUUAGGUUCUAGGGGGCGCCAAAGAUAACCCUAAAAUCCACAUAUUUCAAAGUCUUAUAACUUUUUAUUUUUGCCCUCACUGGCCUCCAAGUUUUCUAGGAUGAUGCAAUGUCCAGCCAUUAACACAUUUGUGAAGGAAUUUUUACUCCCCAAAAGAGCGCCCCCCCAUGGCCGGAGAAAAAAGUCCAUUUUUUCUUGUCCCCUAAGGUGAAAAUACACAUUGUUGAGUGUCACGCCUGUACGCUUUGUCAUAUUGACACAAAAUUUGACACACACAUGUAUCUCAAUAAAAUCUACGAAAAAGUCAAUGCGCGCGUAUCUGUCAAAUGUACGGUUAAAGGGUUAUUCCGCAUUUUUUGCUGAUCCGCACACAUUGGAAUUUCGCUAACUCCUCCUAAGGCUGGCGUUCCACCGGCACCACAUUUGCUCAGGCCAAUCUACACCCCAUGGCCAUUAAAAGUUAUUCAAAUCAUGAUGCUGCACCCCACGGUUUAGGUUCUAGGGGGCGCCAAAGAUAACCCUAAAAUCCACAUAUUUCAAAGUCUUAUAACUUUUUAUUUUUGUCCUCACUGGCCUCCAAGUUUUCUAGGAUGAUGCAAUGUCCAGCCAUCAACACAUUUGUGAAGGAAUUUUUACUCCCCAAAAGAGCGCCCCCCCAUGGCAGGAGAAAAAAGUCAGUUUUUUCUUGUCCCGUAAGGUGAAAAUUCACAUUGUUGAGUGUGACACCUGUACGCUUUGUCAUAUUGACACAAAAUUUGACAAUCACGUGUAUCUCAAUAAGAUCUACGAAAAAGUCAAAGCGCGCGUAUCUGUCAAAUGUACGGUUAAAGGGUUAUUCCGCAUUUUUUGACGAUCCGCACACAUUGGAAUGUGGCUAACUCCUCCUAAGGCUUUCGUUCCACCGGCACCACAUUUGCUCAGGCCAAUCUACACCCCAUGGCCAUUAAAAGUUAUUCAAAUCAUGACGCUGCACCCCACGGUUUAGGUUCUAGGGGGCGCCAAAGAUAACCCUAAAAUCCACAUAUUUAAAAGUCUUAUAACUUUUUAUUUUUGUCCUCACUGGCCUCCAAGUUUUCUAGGAUGAUGCAAUGUCCAGCCAUCAACACAUUUGUGAAGGAAUUUUUACUCCCCAAAAGAGCGCCCCCCCAUGGCAGGAGAAAAAAGUCCAUUUUUUCUUGUCGCCUAAGGUGAAAAUUCACAUUGUUGAGUGUGACACCUGUACGCUUUGUCAUAUUGACACAAAAUUUGACAAUCACGUGUAUCUCAAUAAGAUCUACGAAAAAGUCAAUGCGCGCGUAUCUGUCAAAUGUACGGUUAAAGGGCUAUUUUGCAUUUUUUGCCGAUUCGCACACAUUGGAAUGUGGCUAACUCCUCCUAAGGCUUUCGUCCCACUGACACCAAAUUUGCUCAGGCCAAUCUACACCCCAUGGCCAUUCAAAGUUGUAAAAAUCAUGACGCUGCACCCCACGGCUCACGUUCUAGGGGGCGCCAAAGAUGACCAAAAAAUCCACAUUCUUAAAAG
rnacentral:lncRNA from 1 species